UGCCUUAGUAGCGGCGAGUGAGCGGCAUAGCUCAAAUUUGAAAUCUGGCGUCUUCGGCGUCCGAGUUGUAAUUUGAAGAAGGUAUCUUUGAGGCUGGCUCUUGUCUAUGUUCCUUGGAACAGGACGUCACAGAGGGUGAGAAUCCCGUGCGAUGAGAUGCCCAGUUUCGUGUAAAGUUCCUUCGACGAGUCGAGUUGUUUGGGAAUGCAGCUCUAAGUGGGUGGUAAAUUCCAUCUAAAGCUAAAUAUUGGCGAGAGACCGAUAGCGAACAAGUACUGUGAAGGAAAGAUGAAAAGAACUUUGAAAAGAGAGUGAAAAAGUACGUGAAAUUGUUGAAAGGGAAGGGCUUGAGGUCAGACUUGGUUUACCAGGCCAGCAUCAGUUUGGGUGGCAGGAUAAUAGCUAAGGAAAGUGGCACGAUUUCGGUUGUGUGUUAUAGCCUUGGUUGAUACUGCCUGCCUAGACUGAGGACUGCGUCUUUGACUAGGAUGCUGGCAUAAUGACCUUAAGCCGC
rnacentral:rRNA from 1 species